UACGUAGGGCGCAAGCGUUGUCCGGAAUUAUUGGGCGUAAAGAGCUCGUAGGCGGCUUGUCACGUCGGAUGUGAAAGCCCGGGGCUUAACUCCGGGUCUGCAUUCGAUACGGGCUGGCUAGAGUGUGGUAGGGGAGAUCGGAAUUCCUGGUGUAGCGGUGAAAUGCGCAAAUAUCAGGAGGAACACCGGUGGCGAAGGCGGAUCUCUGGGCCAUUACUGACGCUGAGGAGCGAAAGCGUGGGGAGCGAACAGG
rnacentral:rRNA from 1 species